rnacentral:rRNA from 1 species
UACGAAGGGGGCUAGCGUUGUUCGGAAUUACUGGGCGUAAAGGGCGCGCAGGCGGCCGGCCAAGUCAGAUGUGAAAGCCCCGGGCUCAACCUGGGAACUGCAUUUGAUACUGGUUGGCUAGAGUUCGGGAGAGGAGAGUGGAAUUCCCAGUGUAGAGGUGAAAUUCGUAGAUAUUGGGAAGAACACCGGUGGCGAAGGCGGCUCACUGGACCACAACUGACGCUGAGGCGCGAAAGCUAGGGGAGCAAAC